rnacentral:tRNA from 1 species
AGGAAUGUGGCUAACUGGUAGAGUGCUUGCCUUGCAAGCAUGAGGCCCUGGGUUCGAUUCCUCAAUACCA